rnacentral:rRNA from 1 species
GACGAACGCUGGCAGCGUGCUUAACACAUGCAAGUCGAACGAUGAAGCGGUGCUUGCACCGUGGAUUAGUGGCGAACGGGUGAGUAACACGUGAGUAACCUGCCUUCCACUCUGGGAUAAGCGCUGGAAACGGCGUCUAAUACUGGAUAUGACAUUGCCUCGCAUGGGGUGGUGUGGAAAGAUUUUUUGGUGGUAGAUGGACUCGCGGCCUAUCAGCUUGUUGGUGGGGUAAUGGCCUACCAAGGCGACGACGGGUAGCCGGCCUGAGAGGGUGACCGGCCACACUGGGACUGAGACACGGCCCAGACUCCUACGGGAGGCAGCAGUGGGGAAUAUUGCACAAUGGGCGAAAGCCUGAUGCAGCGACGCCGCGUGAGGGAUGACGGCCUUCGGGUUGUAAACCUCUUUCAGCUCUGACGAAGCUUUUUGUGACGGUAGGAGCAGAAGAAGCACCGGCUAACUACGUGCCAGCCGCCGCAGUAACAC